rnacentral:piRNA from 1 species
UUAACAAGUAAAGGUGACGCGUGGGC